GCAAAUUCGAUCUCUGCUCCGAGGCCGAACUGAAGGUGAGACCGAGCGAACUUGGGCCGUGAGCGCAGCCAUGGCCACGGCCGCGGACGGCGGCGGCGCCACCGCCGGCGACGGCGGAGCGGCGGUGAGGCCAGCGAGGCCGGCGCCGAAGCGGUUCACGAAGUCCCAGAUCCCGGACGCCAUCCUCAACAACGCCGCCCUCAACGCCGCCAUCGCCCUCCUCCCGGCGAACUACAGCUUCGAGGUCCACAAGUGCGUCGCCCGCAUCCUCGCCGCCGGCGCCAAGCGCGUGGCCCUCCAGCUCCCGGAGGGCCUCCUCAUGUACUCCCUCGUCCUCUCCGACAUCUUCGCCGCCUUCGCCGCCGUCGACCACUGCUUCGUCCUCGGCGACGUCACCUACGGCGCCUGCUGCGUCGACGACCUCGCCGCCCGCGCCCUCGGCGCCGACCUCCUCAUCCACUACGGCCACAGCUGCCUCGUCCCCGUCGACGCCACCGCCGUGCCUUGCCUCUACGUGUUCGUCGAGAUUCGGAUCGACGUCGCCCAUCUCGUGGAGACGCUGAAGCUGAACUUGGGCGGGGAGUGGUCGGACGUCGUGCUCGCCGGCACGAUCCAGUUCGCCGGCGCGAUUCGCGCGGCGAAGACCGAGCUCGAGGGCAGCAGGUUUAGGGUUUUGGUGCCGCAGGCGAAGCCGCUGUCGGCAGGUGAGGUUCUCGGCUGCACCGCGCCGAGGGUCCGGUCCGACUCGAACGAGGGGACGGUUGCGGUGUUCGUGGCGGACGGGAGGUUUCACUUGGAGGCUUUUAUGAUAGCGAAUCCGGGGAUUAAGACCUUCCGAUACGAUCCCUACAUGGGGAAGUUGUUUCUUGAGGAGUAUGAUCAAAAGGGGAUGAGGGAAUCGAGGCGGAACGCGAUAUUGAAGGCGCAGGAGUGCGCGAGGAGUUGGGGAAUCGUGUUGGGGACGCUCGGGAGGCAAGGUAAUCCGAGGAUUUUAGAGAGGUUGGAGAAGAAGAUGAGGGAAAAGGGCUUUGAUUACACGGUGGUUUUGAUGUCGGAGAUCACUCCUGGGAGGAUCGCUUUGUUUGAGGAUUCUGUGGAUGCUUGGAUUCAGAUAGCCUGUCCAAGGCUUUCCAUUGACUGGGGGGAUGCAUUUCAUAAGCCGGUAUUGACACCAUUCGAGGCGGAGAUCACUCUUGGUUUCAUUCCUGGGUGGUGGGAGAGAAAUUCAAAGACGAAUUCAGGUUGCGUAGCUGAUUCCGGUUGCAGCAAGGGCGACUCGGGAUGCGAAUGCGGGAGUAGUGUAGCUUCGAAGAGUGACGAUAUUGGAGAUUACCCGAUGGAUUAUUAUGCCCAGGACGGUGGGGAGUGGAAUUCUACUUAUGUGAAGAAGUCGUCCCGGCCUGCACAGAGGACUCUUGUGCCGUCUGCAGGCAGCAGUAGCAUAGCUUAGCAUCGGCUUUAGGUACUCUGAAACUGAUCGUGCCUUCACCAUUCUUGAGUCAUCUGCAUGGUGCCUCAUCCCAAAUUAUGAAAGCUGCUUCGUCAGGUGGCUCUGGUGAGAUACAAUUUCGGUCCGUUGGACAUGUACUAUCUUCAAAGAAGACAUCUAGUGUUAGAUUUUCUCUGGCCGUCCAAUAUUGCAAUCGAGCAAUUCAGAUAAGCACGAGGUUUUGAUUAAUUCCUCGCAACUGAAGAUUGGGAUGGCCAAGUAAUUCUACAUUCUUGCUGAGGAUAUCUUCUGAGAAAGUUCCCGGUUCUCCGACUGAAGAACAGUAGUUACCUCUCAACGGAAGCGUAGUGACAAGAGCCCAGUAUGCACCGCUCACUCUUACCCAUCAUGCAGUAGUCCUCUUUUCUGCCAAUGUCAAUUGCAGUGGUUUAAGGAUCUUGGACGUAGAACCAUGUUCAACGAGUGGAAUUCUGAGAUUAGUAACUUUCUUCCGAAUUUUAAUGAGCAUAAUCUUGUUAUUG